AUUGAACGCUGGCGGCAUGCUUUACACAUGCAAGUCGAACGGCAGCACGGGGGCAACCCUGGUGGCGAGUGGCGAACGGGUGAGUAAUGCAUCGGAACGUAUCUUCAAGUGGGGGAUAACGCAUCGAAAGAUGCGCUAAUACCGCAUAAUCUCUGAGGAGAAAAGCAGGGGAUCGCAAGACCUUGCGCUUCUGGAGCGGCCGAUGUCNGACUAGCUAGUUGGUGGGGUAAAGGCUUACCAAGGCUUCGAUCAGUAGCUGGUCUGAGAGGACGACCAGCCACACUGGGACUGAGACACGGCCCAGACUCCUACGGGAGGCAGCAGUGGGGAAUUUUGGACAAUGGGGAAACCCUGAUCCAGCCAUGCCGCGUGAGUGAUGAAGGCCUUCGGUUGUAAGU
rnacentral:rRNA from 1 species